AAGGGACAGUUAGGCGGAGAAAUGAACAUAGGAGUUUGGAUUCCAGUGGGGAUUAUGUGCAUGAUUAGAGCGUCAGAAUGCAUAGAGUGUUUCAGUUGUCAAAACAUUGCUGAUCCUAAUGAGUGCAGAAAUACUUCACAAUGUUCCAGUGGUCAAGUUUGUAUAAACUUUAUUCGAAUAAAUUUGGUAUAAUGCCAACAUGUUUUGAACCAAGUUGAACUUAAUACA